rnacentral:rRNA from 1 species
GACGAACGCUGGCGGCGUGCCUAACACAUGCAAGUCGAGCGAAUGAAGUUCCUUCGGGAAUGGAUUUAGCGGCGGACGGGUGAGUAACACGUGGGCAACCUGCCUCAUAGAGGGGAAUAGCCUUCCGAAAGGGAGAUUAAUACCGCAUAAGAUUGUAGUACCGCAUGAUACAGCAAUUAAAGGAGCAAUCCGCUAUGAGAUGGGCCCGCGGCGCAUUAGCUAGUUGGUGAGGUAACGGCUCACCAAGGCGACGAUGCGUAGCCGACCUGAGAGGGUGAUCGGCCACAUUGGGACUGAGACACGGCCCAGACUCCUACGGGAGGCAGCAGUGGGGAAUAUUGCACAAUGGGGGGAACCCUGAUGCAGCAACGCCGCGUGAGUGAUGACGGCCUUCGGGUUGUAAAGCUCUGUCUUCAGGGACGAUAAUGACGGUACCUGAGGAGGAAGCCACGGCUAACUACGUGCCAGCAGCCGCCGCCGUAA